rnacentral:rRNA from 1 species
UACGUAGGUGACAAGCGUUAUCCGGAAUUACUGGGCGUAAAGCGCACGCAAGCGGUUGUUCAAGUCCUAUGUGAAAUCUUCUGGCUUAACCAGGAGCGGUCGUGGGAAACUGGAGAGCUUGAGGCGAUGAGAGGGGUGCAGAAUUCCAGGUGUAGUGGUGGAAUGCGUAGAUAUCUGGAGGAAUACCAGUGGCGAAAGCGGCACCCUGGCAUUGGCCUGACGCUGAUGUGCGAAAGCGUGGGGAGCGAACGGGAUUAGAAACCCCCGUAGUCC